UACGUAGGGUGCGAGCGUUGUCCGGAAUUAUUGGGCGUAAAGAGCUUGUAGGCGGUCUGUCGCGUCUGCUGUGAAAAUCCGGGGCUCAACCCCGGACUUGCAGUGGGUACGGGCAGACUAGAGUGUGGUAGGGGAGACUGGAAUUCCUGGUGUAGCGGUGAAAUGCGCAGAUAUCAGAAGGAACGAUCAGUGGCGAAAGCGGCUUCCUGGUCCAGUACCGACGUUCGAAGCACGAAAGCGUGGGGAGCAAACAGG
rnacentral:rRNA from 1 species